rnacentral:lncRNA from 1 species
AAUAUUCGAAUUUUGCUUAAUCUUAUUGCUUUUGAUCGUUGGGAUUUUGUUGGCUUAAUGUUUUCUCAUCGACUUAUGUUCUAAACUUCUAAUAGUGGAGUUGAAUACGUGUUGGCUAAAAGAACUGAACCAAUGGUGAAUUGUCUCAAGUUUUUGUUGAAAAGAUUAAAAGGAAAUUUGGGUUUAUUGUCCUUUUUGACCCAGUUG